GGUCAUUGUGAUUUGAGGUUAUCUGUAUUUGGGGUCAUUGUGAUUUGGGGUUAUCUCUAUUUGGGGCUGUUGUGCUCUGUGGACAUCUCUGUUUGGGAACAUCUCAAUUUGAGGCCAUCUCUAUUUGGGGUUGUUUUGAUUUGGGGUCAUCUCUAUUUGGGGUCAUCCCUAUUUGGGGUCAUCCCUAUUUGGGGUCAUCUCUAUUUGGGGUCAUCUCUAUUUGGGGUCAUUGUGAUUUGGGGCCAUCAUUGGGAUUUGGGGCCAUGGAUUUGGUGACGUCAUUGUGAUUUGGGGUCAUCUCUAUUUGGGGCAAUAGAUUUGGGGUCAUCACUGUGAUUUGGGGUCAUCCCUAUUUGGGGUCGUUGUGAUUUGGGGCCAUCUCUACUUGGGGUUAUCUCUAUUUGGGGUUGUUGUGAUUUGGGGUCAUCAUCUCUGUUUGGGGUCAUCCCUAUUUGGGUUCACUGUGAUUUGAGGACAUCUCUAUUUGGGGUCAUCUCUGUUUGGGGUUAUCUCUAUUUGGGGUCGUUGUGAUUUGGGGUCAUUAUCUCUGUUUGGGGUUAUCUCUAUUUGGGGUCGUUGUGAUUUGGGGUCAUCAUCUCUGUUUGAGGUCAUUGUGAUUUGGGGUCAUCUCUAUUUGGGGUCAUCUCUAUUUGGGGCCGUUGUGAUUUGGGGUCAUCUCUAUUUGGGGUCAUCUCUAUUUGGGGCCAUCAUUGGGAUUUGGGGUCAUCUCUGUUUGGGGCCAUUGUGAUUUGGGGACAUCUCUAUUUGGGGUCAUCACUAUUUGGGGUCGUUGCGAUUUGGGGUCAUCAUUUCUGUUUGGGGUCAU
rnacentral:lncRNA from 7 species